UUAGUCCCUAAGCUCUACAUCCGGUAGAUGUGGAACGAUACAGAGAAGAUUGGCUUGGCCCCUGUGCAAGGAUGACACGCACAAAUCCAGAUGUGUAUCAAGUCCAA
rnacentral:snRNA from 1 species